rnacentral:rRNA from 1 species
GGGUUGGUUUUGUUAAGUAGGAAAUUAUUUUUUAGUAGUUUUAGCGAAAGUUUGUAGGUUCCUAGAGUGGAGAUAGUACUGAGAAGGAAAGUUGACUUAAUUUUUUGGAAUAUUAGGUUUUUUAGUACCUUUUGUAUUAGGGUUGAUUAAUGUGAUGUUACAUUUGUUAUUUCUCGAUGAAUAUCGGGCUAUUUUUUCUUAUGAUAAUCUCGUUGUAUAGAGUUAAAUAGGAAAUUAUAGGUAUGAAAUAUUAUUCAAGUUAUUUUUUAUCUGGUUUCUUGAGAAAUUUAAUAGACGAUAGUAUUAUUAGGACAGUAGGUAGGGAUUAGCUUAUCUAUUUUUUAUAUUGGUUUAUUUUUGUUGGUUGUUUAUUAAGUUGAUAGUGCUUAUUUUAAUGGAGUUAUUAUUGAACAAGUUUAUUUAAUUAUUUUUGGAAUUUAUGUGGGUAUCAAGAUUAUGCUUUUAAUUUUUUAUUGGUUUGAAAUAAUGAUUGGAUUAGUAAUAUUUUUUGUUGGCUUGUUUGUUUGUGCUGAAAUUUGGCUUUAGCGAUUGGGGGUUGUUUAAAUUGGGGUUGAUGAAUUAGGCAAAAUUGAUUUCUGACUGUUUAGCAAAAACAUUGUUUUUUGUUGGGAUAAAAAAUAAGUUCUGUCCACUGCUAUUAGGUGAAGGGCUGCAGUAUUUUGACUGUAUGAAGGUAGCAUAAUCAUUAGCUUUUUAAUUGGGGGCUGGUAUGAAGGUGAAACAGAGAUUUGCUGUAUUUUUCCUAUUUUUUGAAUUUUAUUUUCAUGUGAAAAAUCAUGAUUGUAUUAAGGGGACAAGAAGACCCUAAUAAGUUUUAUCUUUUUAUUUAAUGCGUGCAUAGGUUAAUUUGUGCAAUUUGGUUGAGGGGGUUUGGCUGGGGCGGCAGUUUAUUGAACAUAAAUUAAUUUUUAACUUGUAUGGCGAAUUUUGGACCUAAUUGGUUUAGAUUAGUGUAUAAUUACUGUAGGGAUAACAGCGUUAUUUUAUUUGAGAGUUCUAAUUGACAAUAGA